AUUGAACGCUGGCGGCAGGCUUAACACAUGCAAGUCGAACGCCCCGCAAGGGAAGUGGCAGACGGGUGAGUAACGCGUGGGAAUCUACCCAGAUCUACGGAACAACAGUUGGAAACGGCUGCUAAUACCGUAUACGCCCUACGGGGGAAAGGUUUAUCGGGUUUAGAUGAGCCCGCGUUGGAUUAGCUAGUUGGUGGGGUAAUGGCCUACCAAGGCGUGGAUCCAUCGCUGGUCUGAGAGGAUGAGCAGCCACACUGGGACUGGGACACGGCCCAGACUCCUACGGGGGGCAGCAGUGGGGAAGAUUGGACAAGCGGGGCAAGCCUGAUCCAGCUAUGCUGCGUGAGUUAUGAAGGCCUUGGGGUUGUAAAGCUCUUUCACCGAUGAAGAGAGUGACGGUAGUCGGAGAAGAAGCCCCGGCUAACUUCGUGCCAGCCGCCGCCGUAAUAC
rnacentral:rRNA from 1 species